CUUGGCUUGUCAGCAUCCAUGCGUCUCGCAUGGUCCUCGCGUCCACGCGUUGGGUGGAUGCUGCUCGGCAGAUAAAAUUCCUUCAUUUGUGUGGCUACAGGACCGGGGUCCCCCGCGCAAAGGGAUCGGCCGAGGGCUGGAGCCGGGAGGGCAGCAUUGAUUGGGUUGAGCUUUUGUGCAGUGGUGGUUAAUGGCCUCAUCUUAACUCUCCUUCCAUAUUCCUGUCACAUGGGCCUACAUGUACCCUGGGCGCUGCCAUGGGACCUGAAUAAAGGCCACAUGCCGAUGGGGCAGUGAUGAGAACGAUGGUGCUCUCCUCCUCCAUAUUGGCUUAAAAAGAUUGUGGCUGCUAAUUUCUGCUCUACUUCCUGUCAUGACCUCAUCAAGGUGCCAAAGGCUCUAAUUGCAAGUUUUCUGGGUUGGACUACAAAAUAAUAGCCUCCACCAACACUUCUUGCUUUGUCUUACAUGUAUAUACUAUGAAUGAAAUGUGAGUUGGUAUGAUGUUACUGGGCUGCCACGCAACUAAUCUCGAAAGACUUAAUUGUGUGGUUCCACAUGCAAGUUCAGCAGGAAAUAGACUAAACGAAUUAUGUGAAACAUGGAAAUGGAAGGACUGAAACUUUUCUCGAUACUUGAUGAGCUAAACAACUGCGUUUUGCAGUGAUUACAUGGGUGAGGUGGCUUCAGUGACAUCAACUUAAUACUCAUUACAGUGUUUCCGCUUUCCAUCGAAGCAGCAGGGCCAUCAAGUGAUAUGUGACCACAUCCACAAUGUGGAAACAUUACAAUUAUAUGCUUGUCCUUCUUGUGUUUUUGUCCCUAUGAAUGAAAUCUGAGCUACACCAAGACUAUUUCCCACAAAUAAUAUUUUUUCUCUGCUUUUUACUGCAUGCACUAGUUUCUGAAAAUGAUAUUCAUCAUGUAAUAUA